AUUGAACGCUGGCGGCAGGCUUAACACAUGCAAGUCGAGCGGGGUGAUGGUGCUUGCACUAUCACUUAGCGGCGGACGGGUGAGUAAUGCUCUGGAAUCUGCCUAUUAGUGGGGGACAACAUCUCGAAAGGGAUGCUAAUACCGCAUACGUCCUACGGGAGAAAGCAGGGGAUCACUUGUGACCUUGCGCUAAUAGAUGAGCCUAAGUCGGAUUAGCUAGUUGGUGGGGUAAAGGCCUACCAAGGCGACGAUCUGUAGCGGGUCUGAGAGGAUGAUACGCCACACUGGGACUGAGACACGGACCAGACUCCUACGGGAGGUAGCAGUGGGGAAUAUUGGACAAUGGGGGGAACCCUGAUCCAGCCAUGCCGCGUGUGUGAAGAAGGCCUUAUGGUUGUAAAGCACUUUAAGCGAGGAGGAGGCUCUUUUGGUUAAUACCCAAGAUGAGUGGACGUUACUCGCAGAAUAAGCACCGGCUAACUCUGUGCCAGCAGCCGCAGUAA
rnacentral:rRNA from 1 species